AACAGGAUUAGAUACCCUGGUAGUCCACGCCGUAAACGAUGUCGACUUGGAGGUUGUUCCCUUGAGGAGUGGCUUCCGGAGCUAACGCGUUAAGUCGACCGCCUGGGGAGUACGGCCGCAAGGUUAAAACUCAAAUGAAUUGACGGGGGCCCGCACAAGCGGUGGAGCAUGUGGUUUAAUUCGAUGCAACGCGAAGAACCUUACCUACUCAUGACAUCCAGCGAACUUGGCAGAGAUGCCCUGGUGCCUUCGGGAACGCUGAGACAGGUGCUGCAUGGCUGUCGUCAGCUCGUGUUGUGAAAUGUUGGGUUAAGUCCCGCAACGAGCGCAACCCUUAUCCUUUGUUGCCAGCGAUUCGGUCGGGAACUCAAAGGAGACUGCCGGUGAUAAACCGGAGGAAGGUGGGGAUGACGUCAAGUCAUCAUGGCCCUUACGAGUAGGGCUACACACGUGCUACAAUGGCGCAUACAAAGAGAAGCGACCUCGCGAGAGCAAGCGGACCUCAUAAAGUGCGUCGUAGUCCGGAUCGGAGUCUGCAACUCGACUCCGUGAAGUCGGAAUCGCUAGUAAUCGUGGAUCAGAAUGCCACGGUGAAUACGUUCCCGGGCCUUGUACACACCGCCCGUCACACCAUGGGAGUGGGUUGCAAAAGAAGUAGGUAGCUUAACCCUCGGGAGGGCGCUUACCACUUUGUGAUUCAUGACUGGGGUGAAGUCGUAACAAGGUAACC
rnacentral:rRNA from 1 species